rnacentral:rRNA from 1 species
CCUACGGGAGACAGCAGUGAAGAAUAUUGGUCAAUGGACGAGAGUCUGAACCAGCCAAGUAGCGUGAAGGACGACUGCCCUAUGGGCUGUAAACUUCUUUUACAUGGGAAUAAAAUGCUCCACGUGAGGGAUUAUGUAUGUACCAUAUGAAUAAGGAUCGGCUAACUUCGUGCCAGCAGCCGCGGUAAUACGGAGGGUGCGAGCGUUAUCCGGAUUUAUUGGGUUUAAAGGGAGCGUAGGUGGAUUGUUAAGUCAGUUGUGAAAGUUUAGGGCUCAACCUUAAAAUUGCAGUUGAAACUGGCAGUCUUGAGUACAGUAGAGGAUGGCGGAAUUCGUGGUGUAGCGGUGAAAUGCUUAGAUAUCACGAAGAACUCCGAUUGCGAAGGCAGCUCUCUGGACUGCAACUGACGCUGAGGCGCGAAAGUGUGGGUAUCAAACAGGAUUAGAUACCCGAGUAGUC